rfam:Schistosoma curassoni strain Dakar, Senegal genome assembly, scaffold: SCTD_scaffold0000757
GCACUGCUGAGUAGUCCCAUAAUAGGACGAAACGGCAUUCCAGUAC